UGGGGAAUUUUGGACAAUGGGCGAAAGCCUGAUCCAGCAAUGCCGCGUGUGUGAAGAAGGCCUUCGGGUUGUAAAGCACUUUUGUCCGGAAAGAAAUCCUUGGCUCUAAUACAGUCGGGGGAUGACGGUACCGGAAGAAUAAGCACCGGCUAACUACGUGCCAGCAGCCGCGGUAAUACGUAGGGUGCAAGCGUUAAUCGGAAUUACUGGGCGUAAAGCGUGCGCAGGCGGUUUGCUAAGACCGAUGUGAAAUCCCCGGGCUCAACCUGGGAACUGCAUUGGUGACUGGCAGGCUAGAGUAUGGCAGAGGGGGGUAGAAUUCCACGUGUAGCAGUGAAAUGCGUAGAGAUGUGGAGGAAUACCGAUGGCGAAGGCAGCCCCCUGGGCCAAUACUGACGCUCAUGCACGAAAGCGUGGGGAGCAAACAGGAUUAGAUACCCUGGUAGUCCACGCCCUAAACGAUGUCAACUAG
rnacentral:rRNA from 1 species